CUCGACGUGGUGGAGCGGCGCCGCGCCGGCGGCGACCUGCCCGGGAUGCUGGCGGCCUUCCGGCGGUUCGACGCCGUCGCGGAGACCA
rnacentral:tRNA from 1 species